CCUAGGGUGGCUGCAGUGGGGAAUAUUGGACAAUGGGCUAAAGCCUGAUCCAGCCAUGCCGCGUGUGUGAAGAAGGCCUUCGGGUUGUAAAGCACUUUCAGUGGGGAAGAAAGCCUUGGGGCUAAUACCCUCGAGGAAGGACAUCACCCACAGAAGAAGCACCGGCUAACUCCGUGCCAGCAGCCGCGGUAAUACGGAGGGUGCGAGCGUUAAUCGGAAUUACUGGGCGUAAAGCGCGCGUAGGCGGUCUGAUAAGCCGGUUGUGAAAGCCCCGGGCUCAACCUGGGAACGGCAUCCGGAACUGUCAGGCUAGAGUGCAGGAGAGGAAGGUAGAAUUCCCGGUGUAGCGGUGAAAUGCGUAGAGAUCGGGAGGAAUACCAGUGGCGAAGGCGGCCUUCUGGACUGACACUGACGCUGAGGUGCGAAAGCGUGGGUAGCAAACAGGAUUAGAUACCCGAGUAGUC
rnacentral:rRNA from 1 species